UACGUAGGGGGCAAGCGUUGUCCGGAAUCAUUGGGCGUAAAGCGCGCGUAGGCGGCCAGAUAAGUCCGGUGUGAAAGUCACAGGCUCAACCUGUGAAUGCCGCUGGAAACUGUCUGGCUUGAGUCCGGAAGGGGCGAGUGGAAUUCCUGGUGUAGCGGUGAAAUGCGCAGAUAUCAGGAGGAACACCUGCGGCGAAGGCGGGUUGCUGGGCUGAUACUGACGCUGAGGCGCGAAAGCUAGGGGGAGCGAACGGG
rnacentral:rRNA from 1 species